CACGAGAAGCAAACUUUGCACAUUGGCUAUCAAGUAAAAUAUUGUUUUCAGCGAACACAUUUUUGGCAACAUUUAUUUGGAUGAUUAUAUCUACAUGAUGUGCUUAUAAUUUUAAAUGUUUUCAACAACCAAGUAACCAUCCGUAAACGCCAUACAUUGGGGAGCUACGUAUGAACAAGACAAUGGGAAAUUUAUUUGUAUUAGAGCGACAUGCCUAUUGGGUGCUUCAAAACACCAACGGGUCGGGUACUCACCAAAGAAGAGCAAAAGAAAAAGAGAGAAAUGGAACAGAUCAAGAGAUUGGAAAAGAUAGCAGCCGAUAAGAGAGCAAGCGAUGCAAGGAGAAUCAAGAUUCGGGAUCUCCAAAGGGAAAUUAAAACAUUGAAGAAGAAACCGGGAAUAUGAAGCCAUAUGAUUAGAAUGUGAACAUUGAGUUCUAUGACGAUAAUUGGGAUGUUUACUAUAGAAGCUAUGUUGUAGCAAAUACCGUAAUUGCUAUAUUAUUCUCUUUAUUUUAUGAUUAUGUUUGGUCUAGUAGGAAUCACUUAUGUUUGUUUACGCUCUAUAGGCGAAAUGUAUUUUAUAUACAAAUACAUUUGUAUAUUCUUUCAGAGUGUCUGUGGUUAGCAUUAUUUCUUCUUUUAAUAAUAUAUAUGCGGAUUUUUAUUUGUUA